CAACUCAUAUGCAGCGGGGAGAUACCAUGAUCAUGAAGGUGGUUCACCCAGAGCGACUCAAUAUUGCACUUCGGUUGUGCUGACCGAUGCGAAUUCCCCAAAUGUUGGAAUCUCGACUGCAUAAUUUGUGGUAGUGGGGGACUGCGUCGCGCUCUCCUG